UCUCUGGAGGAUUAGUGGUUAGGCCUCAGCGAUCUCACCGCCACAGCCCUGGUUCGAUUCCCAGCUAGGGAA